rnacentral:rRNA from 1 species
ACGUAGGGGGCAAGCGUUGUCCGGAUUCAUUGGGCGUAAAGCGUGCGCAGGCGGCUGCUCAAGUCAGGGGUGAAAGCCCAGAGCUCAACUCUGGAAUUGCCUUUGAGACUGAGUGGCUUGAGUACGGGAGAGGUGAGUGGAAUUCCCAGUGUAGAGGUGAAAUUCGUAGAUAUUGGGAAGAACACCGGUGGCGAAGGCGGCUCACUGGCCCGUAACUAACGCUCAUGCACGACAGCAUGGGGAUCAAACAGGA